rnacentral:rRNA from 1 species
AUUGAACGCUGGCGGCAGGCCUAACACAUGCAAGUCGAGCGGGGUUUUCGGACCUAGCGGCGGACGGGUGAGUAAUGCGUAGGAAGCUACCCGAUAGAGGGGGAUACCAGUUGGAAACGACUGUUAAUACCGCAUAAUGUCUACGGACCAAAGUGUGGGACCUUCGGGCCACAUGCUAUCGGAUGCGCCUACGUGGGAUUAGCUAGUUGGUGAGGUAAUGGCUCACCAAGGCGACGAUCCCUAGCUGGUUUGAGAGGAUGAUCAGCCACACUGGAACUGAGACACGGGCCAGACUCCUACGGGAGGCAGCAGCGGGGAAUAUUGGACAAUGGGCGCAAGCCUGAUCCAGCCAUGCCGCGUGUGUGAAGAAGGCCUUCGGGUUGUAAAGCACUUUCAGUAGGGAGGAAGCGUUGUGUGUUAAUAGUACACAGCGUUGACGUUACCUACAGAAGAAGCACCGGCUAACUCUGUGCCAGCAGCCGCUGUAA